rnacentral:rRNA from 1 species
UACGAGAGGCGCAAACGUUAUUCGGAAUUACUGGGCGUAAAGGGCUCGUAGGCGGCCAACUAAGUCGGACGUGAAAUCCCUCAGCUUAACUGGGGAACUGCGUCCGAUACUGGAUGGCUUGGAUUCGGGAGAGGGAUGCGGAAUUCCAGGUGUAGCGGUGAAAUGCGCAGAUAUCAGGAGGAACACCAAUUGCGAAGGCAGCUCGCUGGGACGUUACUGACGCUGAGACGCGAAAGCGUGGGGAGCAAACAGG